GAUGAACGCUGGCGGCGUGCCUAAUACAUGCAAGUCGAGCGAACAGACGAGGAGCUUGCUCCUCUGACGUUAGCGGCGGACGGGUGAGUAACACGUGGAUAACCUACCUAUAAGACUGGGAUAACUUCGGGAAACCGGAGCUAAUACCGGAUAAUAUAUUGAACCGCAUGGUUCAAUAGUGAAAGACGGUUUUGCUGUCACUUAUAGAUGGAUCCGCGCCGGAUUAGCUAGUUGGUAAGGUAACGGCUUACCAAGGCAACGAUGCGUAGCCGACCUGAGAGGGUGAUCGGCCACACUGGAACUGAGACACGGUCCAGACUCCUACGGGAGGCAGCAGUAGGGAAUCUUCCGCAAUGGGCGAAAGCCUGACGGAGCAACGCCGCGUGAGUGAUGAAGGUCUUCGGAUCGUAAAACUCUGUUAUUAGGGAAGAACAAAUGUGUAAGUAACUAUGCACGUCGUGACGGUACCUAAUCAGAAAGCCACGGCUAACUACGUG
rnacentral:rRNA from 1 species